GGUAGCCUCUCCACUAUUGUUUAGAUGCACCGGAUUUUGUCUGAUCUUGGAAGUUAAGCAGGGUAGGGCCUGGUUAGUACUUGGAUGGGAGAUUCUGCCCAUUUUCAAGCUGAGUCUUUCC
rnacentral:rRNA from 1 species